UGGAUUCAAGUCCGCCCGGUUGUUCAGGCUGCCUGGCCUCGCCAGAUGUUGCCGGUCGCCCACGGCGAUUCAUUUCGCUUGUGGUGUCGUUCCCGGCGAUCACUCGGUGGGGUGGCAUUGCUCUGCCACCGGAGGAGUGCACUUCCUCCCUAGUAGAAACGUCGCGACCCGUUGGGUGCCGGUCAAAGGCCCGGGAUGGCAGCCCACGUGUCCUGUGGGGUUCCUCACAGGCAUGCGGACUCCUGGUGUCCCGGCCGGCUGCCCGACGGUAUGACCAGAGGAGUCGAUCCGCUGAAUGUGAAACACUGUGGUUGUGUAGCGUCCGGCCCGGCGCCGACACGUGCUGGGAUUGAGGUGCAAACCGGGGGUGUCCGUGCGAAGCACGGCCCCGGCCCCGCUGCGUUGUCGGAUUAGUCGGUGACCUCGGACAGGAUCUGUACUCCCGUCGGCGACGCCCACCUUCGGAUGGUCUCCCG
rnacentral:rRNA from 1 species